rnacentral:rRNA from 1 species
GUGCCAGCCGCCGCGGUAAUACCGGCAGUCCGAGUGAUGGCCGAUCUUAUUGGGCCUAAAGCGUCCGUAGCUGGCCGCGCAAGUCCAUCGGGAAAUCCACCUGCUCAACAGGUGGGCGCCCGGUGGAAACUGUGCGGCUUGGGACCGGAAGGCGCGACGGGUACGUCCGGGGUAGGAGUGAAAUCCCGUAAUCCUGGACGGACCGCCGAUGGCGAAAGCACGUCGCGAGAACGGAUCCGACAGUGAGGGACGAAAGCCAGGGUCUCGAACCGGAUUAGAAACCCCAGUAGUCC